UACGUAGGGGGCAAGCGUUGUCCGGAUUUAUUGGGCGUAAAGAGCGUGUAGGCGGCCAGGUAGGUCUGGUGUGAAAACUCGAGGCUCAACCUCGAGAGGUCAUCGGAAACCAUCUGGCUAGAGUCCGGAAGAGGAGAGUGGAAUUCCCGGUGUAGCGGUGAAAUGCGCAGAUAUCAGGAAGAACACCCGUGGCGAAGGCGGCUCUCUGGGACGGUACUGACGCUGAGACGCGAAAGCGUGG
rnacentral:rRNA from 1 species